UUUCCAAGCCCUUCAAUCCGAAAAAAAUUACCUUCGAAUACAGGAUGACACGUUAAGCAGGGUGUUGUCUUCGGUUGAUGUAGCCACGAAAGAGAAUAUGGAAGAGCUUGUGAAAGUUGGUGAGGGAUUGCUAAAGAAAUCAGUUUCCAGGGUGAAUUUGGAUACGGGCAUCUUUGAGACUGCUCCCGGUCAUCAAGAGACUAAUGAGAAUGCACUUAGGAGGUUUGCUAAAAUACUAUCGCAAGAGAGAAGCCUCCGUCUUGCUAGAUCACCACUCGGACAUGCAACAAAUCCCAAAUAAUAUUCUACAUUUUAUCAAGACAAUUCUCCUUUUUUUUUUUUCUCUUUUUUUUAUUUUUAUUUUUUACAUUACUAAACAUUGUACUAAUAAAAAAAUUGUUGAUUAUUCUUUUGAAUAGAUCCAAUGAUCACUAAUUAAUUGGAUAAGUUUUGAUAUAAACAUGUUGUAAUCUUUUGUGUUAUAUAAACAAAUCAAUUUUUUAUUGAAA